GCUACGCGUGCUGUGCGAGCGGCAGGCGGCGCGCCCGGGGCUGCCGGCGCCGCUGAAGAACGCUCUCCACAGCGGGGUGCAGCUGGUGUGCCGUCUGGCGCCGCCUACGGAACAACAGCCACAAUAACGCUGAUGGCGCUAGUAGGACAUAAGGACAUCUGCGACCCACGUCGCACGCUCACACUUUACCUCCCGUGUCCAGAACUCAACUACAACCUUACUUCAGACAAACAACCGUCUCUUUCUAGCAAACAGCUAGGAUAUACGCAAGACUGGGACGGCUCUAUAUGGGCGUAUUAAUAACAUAAUGUCACUAGAAAAAGGCAGUGAAAUUCUAUAAAUUCUAUGUAUUUUUGUAGUGGCAUAUCGGGGAUUGCUAAAUAUCGCAAUAAUGUUUUAAAAUGACUGUUCUAUUAUCAUGUUAUAUUAUCUGUGUUGUCACGUGACAUGUGUCAGUGUCAAAUGACGUUUGUGUGAACACGUAUUGUGAGCUUCACUUUGACAUAUUUAUUUAAAACUCUUGGUUUAUAUUGAAUCAAACUGUUGUAUUGAUAGUAUUUUAAUGGGACAAACUAAGGUAUUCUUUUAAGUUUAAUCUUACUUAAGUAUGAGUCAACGAUUUUGGUCCGAGUUGUUUUAAGCUGUUAUUUUAGCACUUUGUUCUUGUUGAUCUAUUUAGAUUGUAAACAAAAGCAGUACAAUAUCUGAUAGGUCAAACCAGACUGCAGGAAAGCCCUAGGUAGCCUAGAAAAAUAAAACAAUGCAAUUUUCAAAUUGGGACCGUCAAAAAUUUUAACUUUUACUACAUUUUUAAAUUGGGUAAUUUCCCAUUUUCAUCGAACAAAUUCCCUUAUGCAUUUUUUUUAUUAUUUCCCUUUUGAAACUGAUCAUUCCAUUUGUAUAAACUUCGUUUUCUUUCGUUAGAUAGUUGUUUUUUUUAAUUUCAACAACUUUUGUAUUAACAAUAUGGUAUGCACUUGGUUUGGGGUGAAUGUAGUCAGGAUUUUUAAAUAAAUGUUAAUAUAAGA